rnacentral:rRNA from 1 species
GACGAACGCUGGCGGCGUGCUUAACACAUGCAAGUCGAACGGAAAGGCCCUGCUUUUGUGGGGUGCUCGAGUGGCGAACGGGUGAGUAACACGUGAGUAACCUGCCCUUGACUUUGGGAUAACUUCAGGAAACUGGGGCUAAUACCGGAUAGGAGCUCCUGCUGCAUGGUGGGGGUUGGAAAGUUUCGGCGGUUGGGGAUGGACUCGCGGCUUAUCAGCUUGUUGGUGGGGUAGUGGCUUACCAAGGCUUUGACGGGUAGCCGGCCUGAGAGGGUGAACGGCCACAUUGGGACUGAGAUACGGCCCAGACGCCUACGGGAGGCAGCAGGGGGGAAUAUUGCACAAUGGGCGGAAGCCUGAUGCAGCAACGCCGCGUGCGGGAUGACGGCCUUCGGGUGGUAAACCGCUUUCGCCUGUGACGAAGCGUGAGUGGCGGUAAUGGGUAAAGAAGCACCGGCUAACUACGUG